UAGGGAAUCUUCGGCAAUGGACGGAAGUCUGACCGAGCAACGCCGCGUGAGUGAAGAAGGUUUUCGGAUCGUAAAGCUCUGUUGUAAGAGAAGAACGAGUGUGAGAGUGGAAAGUUCACACUGUGACGGUAUCUUACCAGAAAGGGACGGCUAACUACGUGCCAGCAGCCGCGGUAAUACGUAGGUCCCGAGCGUUGUCCGGAUUUAUUGGGCGUAAAGCGAGUGCAGGCGGUUCAAUAAGUCUGAUGUGAAAGCCUUCGGCUCAACCGGAGAAUUGCAUCAGAAACUGUUGAACUUGAGUGCAGAAGAGGAGAGUGGAACUCCAUGUGUAGCGGUGGAAUGCGUAGAUAUAUGGAAGAACAUCAGUGGCGAAGGCGGCUCUCUGGUCUGCAACUGACGCUGAGGCUCGAAAGCAUGGGUAGCGAACAGGAUUAGAUACCCUGGUAGUCCAUGCCGUAAACGAUGAGUGCUAAGUGUUGGGAGGUUUCCGCCUCUCAGUGCUGCAGCUAACGCAUUAAGCACUCCGCCUGGGGAGUACGACCGCAAGGUUG
rnacentral:rRNA from 1 species